GGUAAGGGUGAAAAGGUGGGGUAAGAGCCCACCGCUUGCGUGGCGACACGCAAGGCACGGCAAACCCCUCCUGGAGCAAAACCAAAUAGGGAAGCGUUUGAGGGCGGCCCGCCCGAAGCUUCCGGGUAGGUUGCAAGAGAUGCCGGGCAACCGGCAUCCACAGAGAAAUGAUCAUGGCCCCUGCAAAGGGGUACAGAAUCCGGCUUACAGCCCACUCCCUUUU
rnacentral:RNase_P_RNA from 1 species